UACAAUUUAUACAUCUUGUCAUCAAAUGACUCAUAUUUGUGUGGAAGUUCUCCCCCCCUCUAUUUCUUCACUAUCACCUCAAGCUUGUAAUCAUGGCUAUUGCUUACGCAUCUUUACGCAACAUGGCCACAACUUCCCAUUUCUGCUCAAAAUACCUUUUUGAAACUGGUUGCAUGCUAUGUUAACAUUUUCCAAGAAACUACUUUUGAGGUUUUUGUUUUCACAUUGUCAUGGGAUUUAAACCAUGACAAUAAAAUAGACUUCCUUUAUAAUUUUUUUAAUUCAACAAUUGAGUUUGUGCUAAUGCUGGAGUCAUGACAUUUUCCAGAAGUUAAUGAUUUGGAUCAGGUUCAAAAACCGCCACUUUCUGAAUAUGAAAGUUGUACUUCAUUAGUCCCAAUGGAUAAUUUAUUUGUAGCUUUUCAGUCCUGCGAUUACCAUUUGGUUGUGGGCUGAAAUUGUAACUUUUAAAACUUUUUUCUUGAAAUUACAUAUUCGGUAGCAGAGCUAAUGUGAGCGAUCUAAAUCCAGCCACUAUGCUAUAUUUUACACUAUUAAACAAAAAUGACUUUCUAGCACAGCACAAAAUAGUAAAUUACACAUCAAACCACUCUUCUUCAUAAUUUAUAAUAUGCAUUUCAUGAUAUCUUAAAAAAAUGUAAAUAAAUAAAUAAAUGUAAAAAUGAAUUCAAUCUAUUUAGGACUAGGGCUCAACCUGAUUUACAGAAGUAACCUUUGGGACCAAUAAUGCAAAGUGAGUUUUCUGGUGAGAUUCUGUAGGAUUUAAAGAAUCUUAGGCUUGAAUUAUUUCACUCCAUGUAUGAUAUUCAUGUAGAGUGAAAAAUGUUUCAAAUUCAUUCAAAAACUACUGUAUACAACUCCAAAUAUAAAUUUUAUAGGAAUCCUGAAAAACAUUUAAUUAUCAGUUAGACACAGUAAAUGCAACAAGCUGAAUAUUGUUUAUAAAUAUUAAUAAGUAUAUUGACAUUAAGAUUGUAUCUUUUUAUUUUUCUGUUUAGUUAUACAUGGUUUGUCCCAAUAAAAUGGAUGAAAAAUGGAGUGGAUCAGCAACAAUAUUGGCUUCUGAAUAAAACAGACACCCAUGCUCAGAUGAGAGUUUCUGGACAGGAAUGGGUACUAGCAAACACAAAUGUGUCUGGCUACUUCAGGAUUAACUAUGAUGCUGACAACUGGGAUCGUCUCCUCUCUCAGCUUGGCACCAGUCACCAGGCUUUAUCUCUCAUGAACCGAGCUCAGAUCAUCG